AGAAUCAACGCUGGCGGCGUGCCUAACACAUGCAAGUCGAACGAGAAAGUGGAGCAAUCCAUGAGUAAAGUGGCGACCGGGUGAGUAACACGUGACUAACCUACCCUCGAGUGGGGAAUAACUCCGGGAAACCGGGGCUAAUACCGCAUAACAUCUUCGGAACGCGAGUUCUGUUGAUCAAAGGAGCAAUUCGCUUGAGGAGGGAGUCGCGGCUGAUUAGCUAGUUGGCGGGGUAAUGGCCCACCAAGGCUUAGAUCGGUAGCCGGCCUGAGAGGGCGCACGGCCACACUGGAACUGAAACACGGUCCAGACUCCUACGGGAGGCAGCAGUGGGGAAUUUUGCGCAAUGGGGGAAACCCUGACGCAGCAACGCCGCGUGGAGGAUGAAGUCCCUUGGGAUGUAAACUCCUUUCGACCGGAAGAUACUGACGGUACCGGUGGAAGAGCACCGGCUAACUCUGCGCCAGCAGCCGC
rnacentral:rRNA from 1 species